GUUAUGAUAAAUCUCCCCCAGUAUGUCUACAAUAAGGGCCAGAAAGCAUCCUGGAGCCCAAGUAAAUUAAUGCAGAUAUCUUCUAAUGUAGAAAACCAUAAGCACUGGCGUCCUAUGACAGGAUUUUAGGUUCUGUGGAGACAAGUUUUAAAGAGGAGAAAUCUUCAUGAUGCCCAGGACAGAUGGAGAAAUAAGAUAGAGUGAAUGACACUGAUCAAAGACGACAUCACCUGUGGUUCACUGGAUGCAACUGUGGGAUGGAAGUUUGGUGACGUAUUUUUGUAACAAGAUAUCAACGUACUGGGAUAAAUUGCUUGUGAUGGACUGAAUACCGGAUAUUAUUGGACGGCCUGGGUGGUUCUUCUGAUCCUUAUGAAUUUGGGAUGCCGUCGGUAUAGUGAAAAUGAUGUGGCUUCUGAACCAGAGAGAGGUUGUAACCAGAAAGGUCGAACCGCCCAAGUUGUUUAUGCCAGGCCAUGGAGAGACUGUGACAAGACAAGAAAAGUCUGCCAA